GACGAACGCUGGCGGCGUGCUUAACACAUGCAAGUCGAACGGGCCCGCCCCUGUUUUUGGGGGUGGGUUGAGUGGCGAACGGGUGAGUAUCACGUGAGUAACCUGCCCCCUGCUCCUGGAUAACUGCUUGAAAGGGCGGCUAAUACGGGGUGUGCCGGCUGGUCCGCAUGGGCCUGGUCGGGAUAGUUUCAUCUUCGGGUGUUUCGGUGGGGGAUGGGCUCGCGGCCUAUCAGCUUGUUGGUGGGGUGAUGGCCCACCAAGGCGGUGACGGGUAGCCGGCCUGAGAGGGUGGGCGGCCACACUGGGACUGAGACACGGCCCAGACUCCUGCGGGAGGCAGCAGUGGGGGGUAUUGCACAAUGGGCGGAAGCCUGAUGCAGCGACGUCGCGUGAGGGAUGGAGGCCUUCGGGUUGUGAACCUCUUUCUCCGGUGGUGAAGGCCCUGUCCGUUGCGGCGGGGUUGACGGUAGCCGGGUAUGAAGCGCCGGCUAACUACGU
rnacentral:rRNA from 1 species